rnacentral:rRNA from 1 species
GAUGAACGCUAGCGGGAGGCCUAACACAUGCAAGCCGAGCGGUAGAGAUUCUUCGGGAUCUUGAGAGCGACGUACGGGUGCGGAACACGUGUGCAACCUGCCUUUAUCAGGGGGAUAGCCUUUCGAAAGGAAGAUUAAUACCCCAUAAUAUAUUGAUUGGCAUCAAUUAAUAUUGAAAACUCCGGUGGAUAGAGAUGGGCACUCGCAAGAUUAGAUAGUUGGUAGGGUAACGGCCUACCAAGUCAAUGAUCUUUAGGGGGCCUGAGAGGGUGAUCCCCCACACUGGUACUGAGACACGGACCAGACUCCUACGGGAGGCAGCAGUGAGGAAUAUUGGACAAUGGGUGAGAGCCUGAUCCAGCCAUCCCGCGUGAAGGACGACGGCCCUAUGGGUUGUAAACUUCUUUUGUAUAGGGAUAAACCUUUCCACGUGUGGAAAGUUGAAGGUACUAUACGAAUAAGCACCGGCUAACUCCGUGCCAGCCGCCGCCGUAA